rnacentral:rRNA from 1 species
CCUACGGGAGGCUGCAGUGAGGAAUAUUGGUCAAUGGGCGAAAGCCUGAACCAGCCAAGUCGCGUGAGGGAUGACGGCCCUACGGGUUGUAAACUGCUUUUAUACGGGAAUAACGCGCCUUACGUGUAGGGCUUUGCAUGUACCGUAUGAAUAAGGACCGGCUAAUUCCGUGCCAGCAACCGCGGUAAUACGGAAGGUCCGGGCGUUAUCCGGAUUUAUUGGGUUUAAAGGGAGCGUAGGCCGCAUGUCAAGCGUGCUGUGAAAUGUCCGGGCUCAACCCGGGCCCUGCAGUGGAAACUGGCGUGCUUGAGUGCGCGGGAAGCAGGCGGAAUGCGUGGUGUAGCGGUGAAAUGCUUAGAUAUGACGAAGAACCCCGAUUGCGAAGGCAGCUUGCUGCAGCGGAACUGACGCUGAUGCUCGAAAGCGUGGGUAUCGAACAGGAUUAGAUACCCGGGUAGUC